UUGGAAAUAUAUCGAACUCACAGUAUCGAUCGUUAUUAGCGAGACUGUGUAUAUGUGUGAUGAAACAAAUUUAUCGCAAAACAAAUAUGAAGGGUUCUAUAGUGAGGUCCACGUUAUAAUGACUAUUAGAUCAACUUUGGUUUUGCUAUCCUUGUCUAUCAUUCGACAAAGCCGGUGGUAUUAUCCUUAUCUAGGUCCACAAUGAUGCCAACUAUGUUUAUGACAGUGUAGAAAUAUAAUUAAUUAAUGCAGAGAAUCGGCAUCGCUAUUCUUCUAUCUUCAUCCACUGCCAUUAUAACGUGGACCUCACUAUAUAUAGUUAACCUAGAAUAAAUUUAUCAACAGUCGUCAGUCUUGUUUGAAACAAAUAACAGAGUUUCGAAAAUUUGCAUAAUAUGUACAUGACUAUUAUUUUAUAAACCACUAUAAUUUUAAUUCGUGUUUUUACUGUUGGUUAUGGUAUUAGUUAUAAAAUGAAGUAGCAAUAAUGUAGCAUACCUAAUAAAAAAAUCUUUAUUAUAACAAGAAAGAAACUGACUUAUAUGUUGAUAACAAUAGCAUUAGGCUACUACUGCCUAUAUCGUACCUAUAUUUUGAGUUUUCUGUGGAGAACGAAUGGCUCAAGUUAAUGAAGCUAAUGAAAUAUCAAAACCUACCAA